GCAUUUUUAAGGUCUUUGCCUGCUCCGACCGCACAAGAAGAAUCACAACGAAUGACCUCUGUGAGGAAAAUAUACCAGAGAGCUAUUGUCACCCCAACCCAUCAUGUGGAACAGCUUUGGAGGGACUAUGAGAAUUUUGAAAAUUCAAUUAGUCGAGCCUUGGCAAAAGGACUGGUUUCUGAGUAUCAACCUAAAUAUAACAGUGCGAGGGCUGUAUAUAGAGAAAGGAAGAAGUACACUGAUG
rnacentral:misc_RNA from 1 species